GACGAACCGAGCGAACGUUAUUCGGAAUCACUGGGCUUAAAGGGCGCGUAGGCGGGCCGUCAAGUCGAGGGUGAAAUCCCCCAGCUCAACUGGGGAAGUGCCUCCGAUACUGGCGGCCUCGAGGGGGAUAGGGGCAUGCGGAACUUCCGGUGGAGCGGUGAAAUGCGUAGAUAUCGGAAAGAACACCAACGGCGAAAGCACUCUGCUGGGCCGACACUGACACUGAGAGACGAAAGCUAGGGGAGCGAAUGGG
rnacentral:rRNA from 1 species